GAUGAACGCUGGCGGCGUGCCUAAUACAUGCAAGUCGAGCGAACAGACGAGGAGCUUGCUCCUCUGACGUUAGCGGCGGACGGGUGAGUAACACGUGGAUAACCUACCUAUAAGACUGGGAUAACUUCGGGAAACCGGAGCUAAUACCGGAUAAUAUAUUGAACCGCAUGGUUCAAUAGUGAAAGACGGUUUUGCUGUCACUUAUAGAUGGAUCCGCGCCGCAUUAGCUAGUUGGUAAGGUAACGGUUUACCAAGGCAACGAUGCGUAGCCGACCGGAGAGGGUGAUCGGCCACACUGGAACUGAGACACGGUCCAGACUCCUACGGGAGGCAGCAGUAGGGAAUCUUCCGCAAAGGGCGAAAGCCUGACGGAGCAACGCCGCGUGAUUGAUGAAGGUCUUCGGAUCGUAAAACUCUGUUAUUAGGGAAGAACAAAUGUGUAAGUAACUAUGCACGUCUUGACGGUACCUAAUCAGAAAGCCACGGCUAACUACGUG
rnacentral:rRNA from 1 species